UACGUAGGGACCAAGCGUUGUUCGGAUUUACUGGGCGUAAAGGGCGCGUAGGCGGCAAUUCAAGUCAUCUGUGAAAUCUCCGGGCUUAACCCGGAACGGUCAGAUGAUACUGCUUUGCUAGAGUGCAGAAGGGGCAAUCGGAAUUCUUGGUGUAGCGGUGAAAUGCGUAGAGAUCGGGAGGAACACCAGCGGCGAAGGCGGCACUCUGGGCUGGUACUGACGCUGAGGAGCGAAAGCGUGGGUAGCAAACAGG
rnacentral:rRNA from 1 species